rnacentral:rRNA from 1 species
UUUAACAUGAGAGUUUGAUCCUGGCUCAGGAUGAACGCUGGCGGCGUGCCUAACACAUGCAAGUCGAACGAAG